rnacentral:rRNA from 1 species
GGUUAAGCGACUAAGCGUACACGGUGGAUGCCCUGGCAGUCAGAGGCGAUGAAGGACGUGCUAAUCUGCGAAAAGCGUCGGUAAGGUGAUAUGAACCGUUACAGCCGGCGAUGUCCGAAUGGGGAAACCCAGUGCAAUUCGUUGCACUAUCGUUAACUGAAUACAUAGGUUAACGAGGCGAACCGGGGGAACUGAAACAUCUAAGUACCCCGAGGAAAAGAAAUCAACCGAGAUUCCCCCAGUAGCGGCGAGCGAACGGGGAGCAGCCCGGAGUCUGAAUCAGCUUGUGUGUUAGUGGAAGCGUCUGGAAAGUCGCAGGGUACAGGGUGAUACUCCCGUACACUAAAGCACACAGGUUGUGAACUCGAAGAGUAGGGCGGGACACGUGGUAUCCUGUCUGAAUAUGGGGGGACCAUCCUCCAAGGCUAAAUACUCCUGACUGACCGAUAGUGAACCAGUACCGUGAGGGAAAGGCGAAAAGAACCCCGGCGAGGGGAGUGAAAAAGAACCUGAAACCGUGUACGUACAAGCAGUAGGAGCCCACUAGUUGGGUGACUGCGUACCUUUUGUAUAAUGGGUCAGCGACUUAUAUUCUGUAGCAAGGUUAACCGUAUAGGGGAGCCGCAGGGAAACCGAGUCUUAACUGGGCGUUAAGUUGCAGGGUAUAGACCCGAAACCCGGUGAUCUAGCCAUGGGCAGGUUGAAGGUUGGGUAACACUAACUGGAGGACCGAACCGACUAAUGUUGAAAAAUUAGCGGAUGACUUGUGGCUGGGGGUGAAAGGCCAAUCAAACCGGGAGAUAGCUGGUUCUCCCCGAAAGCUAUUUAGGUAGCGCCUCGUGAAUUCAUCUUCGGGGGUAGAGCACUGUUUCGGCUAGGGGGUCAUCCCGACUUACCAACCCGAUGCAAACUACGAAUACCGAAGAAUGUUAUCACGGGAGACACACGGCGGGUGCUAACGUCCGUCGUGAAGAGGGAAACAACCCAGACCGCCAGCUAAGGUCCCAAAGUCAUGGUUAAGUGGGAAACGAUGUGGGAAGGCCCAGACAGCCAGGAUGUUGGCUUAGAAGCAGCCAUCAUUUAAAGAAAGCGUAAUAGCUCACUGGUCGAGUCGGCCUGCGCGGAAGAUGUAACGGGGCUAAACCAUGCACCGAAGCUGCGGCAGCGACACUAUGUGUUGUUGGGUAGGGGAGCGUUCUGUAAGCCGUUGAAGGUGGCCUGUGAGGGUUGCUGGAGGUAUCAGAAGUGCGAAUGCUGACAUAAGUAACGAUAAUGCGGGUGAAAAACCCGCACGCCGGAAGACCAAGGGUUCCUGUCCAACGUUAAUCGGGGCAGGGUGAGUCGACCCCUAAGGCGAGGCCGAAAGGCGUAGUCGAUGGGAAACAGGUUAAUAUUCCUGUACUCGGUGUUACUGCGAAGGGGGGACGGAGAAGGCUAUGUUGGUAGGGCGACGGUUGUCCCGGUUUAAGCAUGUAGGCGGAUGUUCCAGGUAAAUCCGGAACGUCACUAACGCUGAGGUGUGAUGACGAGGCACUACGGUGCUGAAGUGACAAAUGCCCUGCUUCCAGGAAAAGCCUCUAAGCAUCAGGUAACAUCAAAUCGUACCCCAAACCGACACAGGUGGUCAGGUAGAGAAUACCAAGGCGCUUGAGAGAACUCGGGUGAAGGAACUAGGCAAAAUGGUGCCGUAACUUCGGGAGAAGGCACGCUGAUGGUAGGUGAAGCGACUUGCUCGUGGAGCUGAAAUCAGUCGAAGAUACCAGCUGGCUGCAACUGUUUAUUAAAAACACAGCACUGUGCAAACACGAAAGUGGACGUAUACGGUGUGACGCCUGCCCGGUGCCGGAAGGUUAAUUGAUGGGGUUAUCCGUAAGGAGAAGCUCUUGAUCGAAGCCCCGGUAAACGGCGGUACGUAACUAUAACGGUCCUAAGGUAGCGAAAUUCCUUGUCGGGUAAGUUCCGACCUGCACGAAUGGCGUAAUGAUGGUACAGGCUGUCUCCACCCGAGACUCAGUGAAAUUGAACUCGCUGUGAAGAUGCAGUGUACCCGCGGCAAGACGGAAAGACCCCGUGAACCUUUACUAUAGCUUGACACUGAACACUGGUCCUUGAUGUGUAGGAUAGGUGGGAGGCUUUGAAGUGUGGACGCCAGUCUGCAUGGAGCCAUCCUUGAAAUACCACCCUUUAAUGGCUGGUGUUCUAACGUGGGCCCCUAAUCGGGGUUGCGGACAGUGUCUGGUGGGUAGUUUGACUGGGGCGGUCUCCUCCUAAAGAGUAACGGAGGAGCACGAAGGUCAGCUAAUCCUGGUCGGACAUCAGGAGGUUAGUGCAAUGGCAUAAGCUGGCUUGACUGCGAGCGUGACGGCGCGAGCAGGUGCGAAAGCAGGUCAUAGUGAUCCGGUGGUUCUGAAUGGAAGGGCCAUCGCUCAACGGAUAAAAGGUACUCCGGGGAUAACAGGCUGAUACCGCCCAAGAGUUCAUAUCGACGGCGGUGUUUGGCACCUCGAUGUCGGCUCAUCACAUCCUGGGGCUGAAGUAGGUCCCAAGGGUAUGGCUGUUCGCCAUUUAAAGUGGUACGCGAGCUGGGUUUAGAACGUCGUGAGACAGUUCGGUCCCUAUCUGCCGUGGGCGCUGGAGAAUUGAGGGGGGCUGCUCCUAGUACGAGAGGACCGGAGUGGACGCAUCACUGGUGUUCGGGUUGUCAUGCCAAUGGCAUUGCCCGGUAGCUAAAUGCGGAAGAGAUAAGUGCUGAAAGCAUCUAAGCACGAAACUUGCCCCGAGAUGAGUUCUCCCUGACCCUUUAAGGGUCCUGAAGGAACGUUGAAGACGACGACGUUGAUAGGCCGGGUGUGUAAGCGCAGCGAUGCGUUGAGCUAACCGGUACUAAUGAACCGUGAGGCUUAACCUU